GGUCCUAAGGUAGCGAAAUUCCUUGUCGGGUAAGUUCCGACCCGCACGAAAGGCGUAACGAUUUGGGCACUGUCUCAACAACAGACUCGGUGAAAUUGUAAUUCCGGUGAAGAUGCCGGAUACCUGCGACAGGACGGAAAGACCCCAUGGAGCUUUACUGUAGCUUGACAUUGGGUCUUGGUACUACAUGUACAGGAUAGGUGGGAGGCUUUGAAACCAGGACGCCAGUUUUGGCGGAGCCAUCCUUGGGAUACCACCCUUGUAGUACUGGGACUCUAACCAUAGGCCAUGAAUCUGGUCUUGGGACACUGUCAGGUGGGCAGUUUGACUGGGGCGGUCGCCUCCCAAAAGGUAACGGAGGCGCUCAAAGGUUCUCUCAGUACGGUCGGAAAUCGUACGUAGAGUGUAAAGGCAAAAGAGAGCUUGAUUGCAAGACAUACAGGUCGAGCAAGGAUGAAAAUCGGACUUAGUGAUCCGGUGGUUCUGCGUGGAAGGGCCAUCGCUCAACGGAUAAAAGCUACCCUGGGGAUAACAGGCUUAUCUCCCCCAAGAGUCCACAUCGACGGGGAGGUUUGGCACCUCGAUGUCGGCUCAUCACAUCCUGGGGCUGUAGUAGGUCCCAAGGGUUGGGCUGUUCGCCCAUUAAAGUGGUACGCGAGCUGGGUUCAGAACGUCGUGAGACAGUUCGGUCCCUAUCCGUCGCAGGCGUAGGAAAUUUGAGAAGACCUGUCCUUAGUACGAGAGGACCGGGAUGGACGUACCUCUGGUGUACCAGUUGUCCUGCCAAGGGCAUGGCUGGGUAGCUAUGUACGGAAUGGAUAAGCGCUGAAAGCAUCUAAGCGCGAAGCCAACUUCAAGAUAAGAUUUCCCACCGCAAGGGUAAGACCCCAGAAAGACUAUCUGGUUGAUAGGUCGAAGGUGUAAGUGCAGCAAUGUAUUUAGCUUAUCGAUACUAAUAGGUCGAGGACUUGACCAA
rnacentral:rRNA from 1 species